rnacentral:rRNA from 1 species
AGAGUUUGAUCAUGGCUCAGAUUGAACGCUGGCGGCAGGCCUAACACAUGCAAGUCGAACGGUAACAUUUCUAGCUUGCUAGAAGAUGACGAGUGGCGGACGGGUGAGUAAUGCUUGGGAACUUGCCUUUGCGAGGGGGAUAACAGUUGGAAACGACUGCUAAUACCGCAUAAUGUCUUCGGACCAAACGGGGCUUCGGCUCCGGCGCAAAGAGAGGCCCAAGUGAGAUUAGCUAGUUGGUAAGGUAACGGCUUACCAAGGCGACGAUCUCUAGCUGUUCUGAGAGGAAGAUCAGCCACACUGGGACUGAGACACGGCCCAGACUCCUACGGGAGGCAGCAGUGGGGAAUAUUGCACAAUGGGGGAAACCCUGAUGCAGCCAUGCCGCGUGUGUGAAGAAGGCCUUCGGGUUGUAAAGCACUUUCAGUUGUGAGGAAAAGUUAGUAGUUAAUACCUGCUAGCCGUGACGUUAACAACAGAAGAAGCACCGGCUAACUCCGUGCCAGCAGCCGCGGUAAUACGGAGGGUGCGAGCGUUAAUCGGAAUUACUGGGCGUAAAGCGCACGCAGGCGGUUUGUUAAGCUAGAUGUGAAAGCCCCGGGCUCAACCUGGGAUGGUCAUUUAGAACUGGCAGACUAGAGUCUUGGAGAGGGGAGUGGAAUUCCAGGUGUAGCGGUGAAAUGCGUAGAUAUCUGGAGGAACAUCAGUGGCGAAGGCGACUCCCUGGCCAAAGACUGACGCUCAUGUGCGAAAGUGUGG